UGCAAGUCGAGCGGAUUGAUGGGAGCUUGCUCCCUGAUAUCAGCGGCGGACGGGUGAGUAACACGUGGGUAACCUGCCUGUAAGACUGGGAUAACUCCGGGAAACCGGGGCUAAUACCGGAUAACUCAUUUCCUCGCAUGAGGAAAUGUUGAAAGAUGGCUUCUUGCUAUCCCUUACAAAUGGACCCGCGGCGCAUUACCUAGUUGGGGAGGUAACGGCUCACCAAGGCAACAAUGCGUACCCAACCUGAAAGGGGGAUCGGCCACCCUGGGACUGAAACACGGCCCAAACUCCUACGGAAGGCAGCAGUAGGGAAUCUUCCGCAAUGAACAAAAGUCUGACGGACCAACGCCCCGUGAGUGAUGAAGGUUUUCGAAUCGUAAAGCUCUGUUGUUAGGGAAAAACAAGUGCCGUUCGAAUAGGGCGGCACCUUGACGGUACCUAACCAAAAAGCCACGGUUAACUACUUGCCACCACCCGCGGUAUUACUUAGGUGGCAAGCGUUGUCCGGAAUUAUUGGGCGUAAAGCGCGCGCAGGUGGUUUCUUAAGUCUGAUGUGAAAGCCCACGGCUCAACCGUGAAGGGUCAUUGAAAACUGGGAAACUUGAUUGCAAAGGAGGAAAGUGAAAUUCCAAGUGUAGCGCUGAAAUGCGUAAAUAUUUGAAGAAACACCAUUGGCGAAGGCAACUUUCUGGUCUGUAACUGACACUGAGGCCCGAAAGCGUGGGGAGCAACCAGGAUUAAAUACCCUGUUAGUCCACCCCGUAAACAAUGAUUGCUAAUUGUUAGGGGGUUUCCCCCCUCUAUUGCUGCAGCUAACGAAUAAGCACUUCCGCUUGGGGAGGCCCGCCCAUCCGGUGAACCAUGUGUUAAAUUCAAAGCAACCCAAAAACCUUACCCGGGUCUGAACUUCUCUUGACAACCCUAAAAAUUGGGCUUUCCCCUUUCGGGGCC
rnacentral:rRNA from 2 species